CUCCGCGCCGACCGCCGCCGCCGUCCAACUCUUGGUCCAGAGCCCGGACGUGGUCUGUGGCCCCGAGGCCAUCGAGGCUCAGUACGAGUACCAGACGACGCGCGUCAGCAGCGAGGGCGGCGUCCUCAAGGAGGCCAACUACUACGGUUCGCUGUCUCAGGCGGGCACCGUGAGCCCGGGCCUGGACGCCAAGGGUCAGGAGGUGUUCGCGCCCUUCCGCGGCUGCUGCCCAUGGUGGCACCCAACGACCUCGUGUUCGAUGGCUGGGACAUCUCGUCGCUGAACCUGGCAAAGGCGAUGCGGCUCGCGAAGGUCCGCACUGGGGACUGCAGAAGCAACCGUGGCCGCACGUGGAAGCCCUGCAGCCCCGGCCUUCGGUAUACAUCCCAGAGUUCAUCGCGGCCAACCGGAGCGCGCGCGCCGGACCGCCUCAUCCCGGGCACGCGCGUGCAGCGGCUGGGGCAGAUGCGCAGAGACAUUCGAGACUUCCGGUCUAGCUCAGGGCUGGACAAAGUCAUCGCGCUGUGAAACGGCGAACACAGAGUGCUUCUUUCUGUCAAGUGGUCCCAGGUCUCAACGACACGGCCGAGAACCUGCUGCGCACCAUCGAGUUUGGUCUGGAGGUGUCGCCCUCCACGCUCUUUGCCGUGGCCAGCAUCCUGGAGGGCUGUGCCUUCCUCAGUGGGUCCCCACAGAAAACCCUGGUGCCCGGAGCCCUUAAGCUCGCGUGGCAGCGCCGGGCUACGUGGGCGAAGAUGACUUCAAGUCAGGCCAGACCAAAGUCAAGUCCGUGCUCGUGGACUUCCUCAUCGGCUCCGGCCUCAAGACCAAGUCGACUGUGAAUUAUAACCACCUGCGGAAUAAAGACCAGCAGAACCUGUCGGCACCAUCGCGGUUCCCUCUGAGGAGGUGUCCAAGAGCAACGUGGUGGACGACAUGGUGCAAAGACACCCAGUGCUCUACGCGCCCAGCUAGGAGCCUGACCACUGCGUGGCCAUCAAGUACAUGCCGUAUGCGGGCGACCCCAAGCGUGCGCUGGAUGAGUCUACCUUGGAGCUGAUACUGGGCGGAACCAACACGCUGUUGCUGCACAACAAGCGAGGACUUGCUGCUGGCCGCCCCUGUCAUGCUGGACCUGGCGCUGCUGACCGAGCCCUGCCACUGCGUGAGCUUCUGCACUGAUGACAACAUCGAGCCACAGACCUUCCACCCCAUGCUGUCCCUGCUUAGCUUCCUCUUCAAGGCGCCGCUGGUGCUCCCGGGCAGCCGGGUGGUCAAUGCACUUUUCCGCCAGUGCAGCUGCAUUGAGAACAACGUCAGGGCCUGUGUGGGGCUCCCGCCACAGAACCACGUGGUCCAGGAGCACACGAUGGAACUCCCGGUGCCUGGCCUCAAGCGAGUCGGACCCGUGGCUGCCACCUGCCCUGUGUCAAACAAGAAAGGACCGGGACCCGCUGCCACCAAUGGCUGCACCGGUGAUACCAAUGGACACCCACAAGUGGAGGAACCCCAGAUGCACACCACCUGAGGCCCUGGUCACACAACUUCCCGGCCUUUCCCCGCCUGCACCCCAGGACCCAACCUUUCCAGGUGCCCACAAAAACAAUAAAGCCGGUG